rnacentral:rRNA from 1 species
GAUACCGCCCUAGUUCUAACCAUAAACGAUGCCAACCAGCGAUCCGCCUGGGUUCCUCAAAUGACUCGGCGGGCAGCUUCCGGGAAACCAAAGUGUUUGGGUUCCGGGGGAAGUAUGGUUGCAAAGCUGAAACUUAAAGGAAUUGACGGAAGGGCACCACAAGAAGUGGAGCCUGCGGCUUAAUUUGACUCAACACGGGAAAACUUACCCGGCCCGGACACUGGAAGGAUUGACAGAUUAAGAGCUCUUUCUUGAUUCAGUGGGUGGUGGUGCAUGGCCGUUCUUAGUUGGUGGAGCGAUUUGUCUGGUUAAUUCCGUUAACGAGCGAGACUCCCAUCUACCAAGUAGCCGAUCCCAUCCCUUGCGUGGGACGGUCUUCUUAGAGAGAGAAGCGGCGUUUAGCCGCACGAAACGGAGCAAUAACAGGUCUGUGAUGCCCUUAGAUGUCCGGGGCCGCACGCGCGCUACACUGAAGGAAUCAGCGUGUGCUCUCCCUGUCCGGUAGGACUGGGUAACCCGUGGAACCUCCUUCGUGAUGGGGAUAGGGGCUUGUAAUUGUUCCCCUUGAACGAAGAAUUCCUAGUAAGCGCGAGUCAUAAGCUCGUGUUGAUUACGUCCCUGCCCUUUGUCCACACCGCCCGUCGCUACUACCGAU